rnacentral:rRNA from 1 species
CGCCUGUUUAUCAAAAACAUCUUUUCUUGUUAGUUUUUGAAGUAUGGCCUGCCCGCUGACAUUUGGUGUUGAAGGGCCGCGGUAUUUUGACCGUGCAAAGGUAGCAUAAUCAUUAGUUCUUUAAUUGUGAUCUGGAAUGAAUGGCUUGACGAGGCACGGGCUGUCUUAGUGUUGAAUGUUUUAUUGAAUUUGGUCUUUGAGUUAAAAUUCUUAGAUGUUUUUGUGGGACGAGAAGACCCUAUAGAGUUUGACAUUUGGUUUAUUUACUUGUUUGUUGUUUGUUUAUUUUUGGUGAGUGGGCUUUUUGUUUUGUUGGGGUGAUGGGAGGAAUGUACUUAACUCCUCUUAGUUUUGGUUAUAUUGAUUUAUAGUUGUUUGAUCCAUUUAUUUUGAUUGUAAGACUAAAUUACCUUAGGGAUAACAGCGUAA